UGACUGCGUACCUUUUGUAUAAUGGGUCAGCGACUUAUAUUCUGUAGCAAGGUUAACCGAAUAGGGGAGCCGGAGGGAAACCGAGUCUUAAUUGGGCGUUAAGUUGCAGGGUAUAGACCCGAAACCCGGUGAUCUAGCCAUGGGCAGGUUGAAGGUUGGGUAACACUAACUGGAGGACCGAACCGACUAAUGUUGAAAAAUUAGCGGAUGACCUGUGGCUGGGGGUGAAAGGCCAAUCAAACCGGGAGAUAGCUGGUUCUCCCCGAAAGCUAUUUAGGUAGCGCCUCGUGAAUUCAUCUCCGGGGGUAGAGCACUGUUUCGGCUAGGGGGCCAUCCCGGCUUACCAACCCGAUGCAAACUGCGAAUACCGGAGAAUGUUAUCACGGGAGACACACGGCGGGUGCUAACGUCCGUCGUGAAGAGGGAAACAACCCAGACCGCCAGCUAAGGUCCCAAAGUCAUGGUUAAGUGGGAAACGAUGUGGGAAGGCCCAGACAGCCAGGAUGUUGGCUUAGAAGCAGCCAUCAUUUAAAGAAAGCGUAAUAGCUCACUGGUCGAGUCGGCCUGCGCGGAAGAUGUAACGGGGCUAAACCAUGCACCGAAGCUGCGGCAGCGAACGUAUCACCCAAGACAACUUUACGGAGUUGACGAUUGACGGAGCGAAGCGACGUCAAAGCGUUCAUUAAAGUCGAGUUGGCUUAGGGAUACGUUCGUUGGGUAGGGGAGCGUUCUGUAAGCCUGUGAAGGUGUGUCGUGAGGCAUGCUGGAGGUAUCAGAAGUGCGAAUGCUGACAUAAGUAACGAUAAAGCGGGUGAAAAGCCCGCUCGCCGGAAGACCAAGGGUUCCUGUCCAACGUUAAUCGGGGCAGGGUGAGUCGACCCCUAAGGCGAGGCCGAAAGGCGUAGUCGAUGGGAAACGGGUUAAUAUUCCCGUACUUGGUGUUACUGCGAAGGGGGGACGGAGAAGGCUAUGUUGGCCGGGCGACGGUUGUCCCGGUUUAAGCGUGUAGGUGUGUGUUCCAGGUAAAUCCGGUUCACUUUAACACUGAGGCGUGACGACGAGGCACUACGGUGCU
rnacentral:rRNA from 1 species